rfam:Trichobilharzia regenti genome assembly, scaffold: TRE_scaffold0025706
ACCCAGAUGAUGAGUCCCAAAUAGGAUGAAAUGCGCACCGUGGAU